AACGAACGCUGGCAGCAUGCCUAACACAUGCAAGUCGAACGAGACCUUCGGGUCUAGUGGCGCACGGGUGCGUAACGCGUGGGAACCUGCCCUUAGGUUCGGAAUAACUCCCCGAAAGGGGUGCUAAUACCGGAUAAUGUCUUCGGACCAAAGAUUUAUCGCCUUUGGAUGGGCCCGCGUUGGAUUAGCUAGUUGGUAGGGUAAAAGCCUACCAAGGCGACGAUCCAUAGCUGGUCUGAGAGGAUGAUCAGCCACACUGGGACUGAGACACGACCCAGACUCCUACGGGAGGCAGCAGUGGGGAAUAUUGGACAAUGGGCGAAAGCCUGAUCCAGCAAUGCCGCGUGAGUGAUGAAGGCCUUAGGGUUGUAAAGCUCUUUUACCCGGGAUGAUAAUGGCAGUACCGGGAGAAUAAGCUCCGGCUAACUCCGUG
rnacentral:rRNA from 1 species